rnacentral:rRNA from 1 species
UACACGACCGUACCGCAAACCGACACUGGUGCGCGAGAUGAGUAUUCUCAGGCGCUUGAGAAACUCGGGAGAAGGAACUCGGCAAAUUGACACCGUAACUUCGGAAGAAGGUGUGCCUUUAGUAGGUGAAGUCCCUCGCGGAUGGAGCCCAAUGAGGUUGCAAAGAAUCGGUGGCUGCGACUGUUUAAUAAAAACACAGCACUCUGCAAACACGAAAGUGGACGUAUAGGGUGUGACGCCUGCCCGGUGCUGGAAGAUUAAGUGAUGGGGUGCAAGCUCUUGAUCGAAGUCCCAGUAAACGGCGGCCGUAACAAUAACGGUCCUAAGGUAGCGAAAUUCCUUGUCGGGUAAGUUCCGACCUGCACGAAUGGCGUAACGAUGGCCACACUGUCUCCUCCCGAGACUCAGCGAAGUUGAAAUGUUUGUGAUGAUGCAAUCUCCCCGCGGAAAGACGGAAAGACCCCAUGAACCUUUACUGUAGCUUUGUAUUGGACUUUGAACGGAUCUGUGUAGGAUAGGUGGGAGGCUUUGAAGCCGGGUCGCUAGAUCUGGUGGAGCCAACGUUGAAAUACCACCCUGGUGCGUUUGAGGUUCUAACCUAGGCCCGUUAUCCGGGCCGGGGACAGUGCAUGGUAGGCAGUUUGACUGGGGCGGUCUCCUCCCAAAGCGUAACGGAGGAGUUCGAAGGUACGCUAGUUACGGUCGGACAUCGUGACGAUAGUGCAAUGGCAUAAGCGUGCUUAACUGCGAGACUGACAAGUCGAGCAGAUGCGAAAGCAGGACAUAGUGAUCCGGUGGUUCUGUAUGGAAGGGCCAUCGCUCAACGGAUAAAAGGUACUCUGGGGAUAACAGGCUGAUACCGCCCAAGAGUUCAUAUCGACGGCGGUGUUUGGCACCUCGAUGUCGGCUCAUCUCAUCCUGGGGCUGUAGCCGGUCCCAAGGGUAUGGCUGUUCGCCAUUUAAAGAGGUACGUGAGCUGGGUUUAAAACGUCGUGAGACAGUUUGGUCCCUAUCUUCCGUGGGCGCUGCAGAUUUGAGGAAGCCUGCUCCUAGUACGAGAGGACCGGAGUGGACGCACCUCUGGUGUACCUGUUGUCACGCCAGUGGCAUUGCAGGGUAGCUAAGUGCGGAAGAGAUAACCGCUGAAAGCAUCUAAGCGGGAAACUCGUUUCAAGAUGAGAUCUGCCGGGGCCUUGAGCCCCCUGAAGAGUCGUUCUAGACCAGGACGUUGAUAGGUCAGGUGUGGAAGCGCAGUAAUGCGUUAAGCUAACUGAUACUAAUUGCUCGUGCGGCUUGACCC